AUGAACGCUGGCGGCGUGCUUAACACAUGCAAGUCGCACGGGAAACCUUUUAUUGAAGCUUCGGCAGAUUUAGCUGGUUUCUAGUGGCGGACGGGUGAGUAACGCGUGGGUAACCUGCCCUAUACAGGGGGAUAACAACCAGAAAUGGUUGCUAAUACCGCAUAAGCGCACAGGGCCGCAUGGUCCGGUGUGAAAAACUCCGGUGGUAUAGGAUGGUCCCGCGUUGGAUUAGCCAGUUGGCAGGGUAACGGCCUACCAAAGCGACGAUCCAUAGCCGGCCUGAGAGGGUGAACGGCCACAUUGGGACUGAGACACGGCCCAGACUCCUACGGGAGGCAGCAGUGGGGAAUAUUGCACAAUGGGGGAAACCCUGAUGCAGCGACGCCGCGUGAAGGAAGAAGUAUCUCGGUAUGUAAACUUCUAUCAGCAGGGAAGAUAGUGACGGUACCUGACUAAGAAGCCCCGGCUAACUACGUG
rnacentral:rRNA from 1 species